rnacentral:rRNA from 1 species
CCUACGGGUGGCUGCAGUCGGGAAUUUUGGGCAAUGGGGGCAACCCUGACCCAGCAACGCCGCGUGAGCGAUGAAGGCCUUCGGGUCGUAAAGCUCUGUCGGGAGGGAAGAAGGCUCUCGGGGUGAAUAAUCCCGGGGGAUUGACGGUACCUCCAAAGGAAGCGCCGGCUAACUCCGUGCCAGCAGCCGCGGUAAUACGGAGGCCGCAGGCGUUGUUCGGAAGCAGUGGGCUUGGUACGUCGGUAGGGAAAGCCCGGGGCCUAACCCCGGAACUGCACUCGAAACUGCCUCGCUAGAGUCUCGGAGAGGGUGGUGGAAUUCCCGGUGUAGUGGUGAAAUACGUAGAUAUCGGGAGGAACACCAGCGGCGAAGGCGGCCACCUGGACGAUGACUGACGCUGAGACGCGAAAGCGUGGGGAGCAAACAGGAUUAGAUACCCCGGUAGUC